rfam:Asian citrus Psyllid, Diaphorina citri - Florida Strain, whole genome shotgun sequence.
GCAAGUGGCGAGAGCACAUUGAAUGCAUCAGUUCCCAAAAGAUCACUGAAGUUAAGCAACCUUGUGCGUGUUUGGUAUCUGGAUGGGUGACCAUCUUGCUAUCAUGUGCUGUUGGUU